rnacentral:rRNA from 1 species
UGAGGAACAUGACUUUCGGCGGGGGAUAGCCAGCCCAACGGCCGGGUAAUACCGCGUACGACCUUUUGGGGACAUCCCCGAUUGGUGAAAGCAGCAAUGCGCCGAAAGAGUGCCUCGCGGCCUAUCAGCUAGUUGGUGGGGUAAUGGCUCACCAAGGCGACGACGGGUAGCUGGUCUGAGAGGAUGGCCAGCCACAUUGGGACUGAGACACGGCCCAGACUCCGUACGGGAGGNAG